GUACGCAAUGCGUGCAUGUGUGUGUGUGUGUGUGCGUGUGUGUAUUGAACUCCAAUUGCACUGACCGCAGGGUCCCCAAGGAUCAGGGUCUGUGGCAAACUAUGUGUUUGUUCCAGACCCACAGCAGAUGUCAUCAUUUCACAACCAGCAAGGGCGCCAGGCUCCCUUCACCUUUCCUCCCCGGGGCCCUUACAGGUUGACCUCAGGGUUAUCUCUCAGGUCACGUCAGGGAGCCCUGGCUCACCUUUCCUCCGCUGGUUUCCCCUAACACACACCCAUGCCAGCCUCUGGCCAACCCCACCCUGUUGAGACACGUCAGGCUGGGCCCAGUGCCUGAGGCACACCUGGGGGCAGCUGUGCUCAGUCCAGGAAGACGCCUGUGGUGUGACCUCCUGCAUCACUCCUGACCCAGAUCCGUAGAGCUUGUCCAGGGUGCUCACACAGCUCUCCUCUGGGCCCCACACAAAGUCUGCCCCUUCCAGGAAGCCUUCCUUGGUGCUCUGACCUAGGAAGCAGGAGAUGUGGGUUCUCUCACACGCCCCUUUCCCACAUCCCAGCAGGCUCAUGCCCAGAUCCUCCGUGCCUCAGGACUACAGAAGCUUCCUUAGUCACAAGCAGGGAGACUCACCUGCCUGAAGGCAGCAAGUUGGCCCCAUGGGCUGCUAGCUCCACAUCCAGAAACAAACUUUAUGAAGUCGGAUCUUAUUCCGACUCCCACCUACCCCCACUGACCCCCACUUCUCUGAGUCCUGCUCACUGGCGGGAGUGGGGUGCUCACCUCAUUUGCUCCCUGCUGCCUCAGGGAGCUUGCACGUGCUCUUCCCUCUGCCAGCAAUCCCCUUUCCCUAAGCAUUUCAAACACAGUACUGGGAACUAGUGGCGAGUGCAGCAGAUGCAGGGACUUGGCUGGGAGUGGGAUGGAGAAGGAGGACAAUUGUGCGAUGAAAUGGCA
rnacentral:lncRNA from 10 species